AUUGAACGCUGGCGGCAUGCUUUACACAUGCAAGUCGAACGGCAGCGCGGGCUUCGGCCUGGCGGCGAGUGGCGAACGGGUGAGUAAUACAUCGGAACGUGCCCAGUAGUGGGGGAUAGCUCGGCGAAAGCCGGAUUAAUACCGCAUACGACCUGAGGGUGAAAGCGGGGGAUCUUCGGACCUCGCGCUAUUGGAGCGGCCGAUGGCAGAUUAGCUAGUUGGUGGGGUAAAGGCCUACCAAGGCGACGAUCUGUAGCUGGUCUGAGAGGACGACUAGCCACACUGGGACUGAGACACGGCCCAGACUCCUACGGGAGGCAGCAGUGGGGAAUUUUGGACAAUGGGCGAAAGCCUGAUCCAGCAAUGCCGCGUGUGUGAUGAAGGCCUUCGGGUUGUAAAGCACUUUUGGCGGGAACGAAAAGGACCGUGCCAAUACCACGGUUCGAUGGCGGUACCCGCAGAAUAAGCACCGGCUAACUACGUG
rnacentral:rRNA from 1 species